rnacentral:rRNA from 1 species
UCAGGACGAACGCUGGCGGCGUGCUUAACACAUGCAAGUCGAACGGAAAGGCCCCUUCGGGGGUACUCGAGUGGCGAACGGGUGAGUAACACGUGGGCAACCUGCCCCUAGCUCUGGGAUAACUCCGGGAAACCGGUGCUAAUACCGGAUAUCGACCCUCGCGGGCAUCCGCGUUGGUCAAAAGUUUUUCGGCUAGGGAUGGGCCCGCGGCCUAUCAGCUUGUUGGUGGGGUAAUGGCCUACCAAGGCGACGACGGGUAGCCGGCCUGAGAGGGCGACCGGCCACACUGGGACUGAGACACGGCCCAGACUCCUACGGGAGGCAGCAGUGGGGAAUAUUGCGCAAUGGGCGAAAGCCUGACGCAGCGACGCCGCGUGAGGGACGACGGCCUUCGGGUUGUAAACCUCUUUCAGCUCUGACGAAGCGAAAGUGACGGUAGGAGCAGAAGAAGCACCGGCCAACUACGUGCCAGCAGCCGCGGUAAUACGUAGGGUGCAAGCGUUGUCCGGAAUUAUUGGGCGUAAAGAGCUCGUAGGCGGUCUGUCGCGUCGAAUGUGAAAACCCGGGGCUCAACCCCGGGCCUGCAUUCGAUACGGGCAGACUAGAGUUCGGUAGGGGAGUCUGGAAUUCCUGGUGUAGCGGUGAAAUGCGCAGAUAUCAGGAGGAACACCGGUGGCGAAGGCGGGACUCUGGGC